rnacentral:rRNA from 1 species
GACGAACGCUGGCGGCGUGCUUAACACAUGCAAGUCGAGCGAUGAAGCACCUUCGGGUGUGAAUUAGCGGCGAACGGGUGAGGAACACGUGAGAAAUCUGCCUUCAACUCUGGGAUAACUCCGGGAAACCGGGGCUAAUACCGGAUAUGAGCCUUGAUCGCAUGAUCGGGGCUGGAAAGUUUUUCGGUUGAAGAUGAUCUCGCGGCCUAUCAGCUUGUUGGUGAGGUAAUGGCUCACCAAGGCGACGACGGGUAGCCGGCCUGAGAGGGCGACCGGCCACACUGGGACUGGGACACGGCCCAGACGCCUACGGGAGGCAGCAGUGGGGAAUAUUGGGCAAUGGAGGAAACUCUGACCCAGCGACGCCGCGUGAGGGAUGAAGGCCUUCGGGUUGUAAACCUCUUUCAGUAGGGAAGAGGCGAAAGUGACGGUACCUACAGAAGAAGCACCGGCUAACUAUGUGCCAGCAGCCGCGGUAA